AUACUCACUUCGGCAGCACAUGUACUAGAAUUGGAAUGAUACAGAGAAGAUUACAUGGCCCCUGAGUGAGGAUGACACGCAUAUCCGUGAAGCAUUCCAAGUUUUU
ensembl:snRNA U6 U6 spliceosomal RNA